rnacentral:lncRNA from 1 species
GUCCUCCACCCGGCCGGAUAUAGGCUUCUUCAGCUCGUGCCUUCUGCCCUAUAGUCUGAUGUUUUAACCCAAAGUGCUGUGAAAAAAAUUCAUCUGUUAAAGCCAUAGAGCUUGUGGGUCCAACGUCUGGGGCUCUGGGCUGAGGACAGAGGAUACAGAUCUCUCAAACCUGGCCCCUGCCCCCAGGAAUGUGAAAAUCUGUGCGUGGAGUCAGGACACAGUGGACUUGCUUUUGUAAGGAUGUGAUUCAGAAAUUGUCUCAAAGCACUGCUUUUCCAGUGAAAUCACUGACCUUGGACCGAAGCUGAGGCGAUACCUCCAGGCGUUUCCCCAAAAGCUCAGCCUCUCCUGGGGACCUCCUCUCGCUGGGCCAGGAAGCUCAUUCUCACAGGUUCCAUCUGGUCCAC